CUGGCUCAGGAUGAACGCUAGCGGCAGGCUUAACACAUGCAAGUCGAGGGGCAGCGGGAUGUAGCAAUACAUUGCCGGCGACCGGCGGAUGGGUGCGUAACGCGUAUGCAACCUACCUUAUACAGGGGAAUAACCUUUCGAAAGGGAGACUAACACCCCAUAGUAUUGAUUUAAGGCAUCUUAGAUUAAUUAAAUAUUUAUAGGUAUAAGAUGGGCAUGCGUAUGAUUAGCUAGUCGGUAAGGUAACGGCUUACCAAGGCGACGAUCAUUAGGGGUUCUGAGAGGAAGGUCCCCCACACUGGUACUGAGACACGGACCAGACUCCUACGGGAGGCAGCAGUGAGGAAUAUUGGUCAAUGGGCGCAAGCCUGAACCAGCCAUGCCGCGUGCAAGGAAGACGGCCUUAUGGGUUGUAAACUGCUUUUACAUAAGACUAACCGUAUAUUUGCGAAUAUACCUGAAUGUAUUAUGAGAAUAAGGAUCGGCUAACUCCGUGCCAGCCGCCGC
rnacentral:rRNA from 1 species